rnacentral:rRNA from 1 species
GACGAACGCUGGCGGCGUGCUUAACACAUGCAAGUCGAACGGAAAGGCCCUGCUUUUGUGGGGUGCUCGAGUGGCGAACGGGUGAGUAACACGUGAGUAACCUGCCCUUGACUUUGGGAUAACUUCAGGAAACUGGGGCUAAUACCGGAUAGGAGUUCCUGCUGCAUGGUGGGGGUUGGAAAGUUUCGGCGGUUGGGGAUGGACUCGCGGCUUAUCAGCUUGUUGGUGGGGUAGUGGCUUACCAAGGCUUUGACGGGUAGCCGGCCUGAGAGGGUGACCGGCCACAUUGGGACUGGGAUACGGCCCAGACUCCUACGGGAGGCAGCAGUGGGGAAUAUUGCACGAUGGGCGGAAGCCUGAUGCAGCAACGCCGCGUGCGGGAUGACGGCCUUCGGGUUGUAAACCGCUUUCGCCUGUGACGAAGCGUGAGUGACGGUAAUGGGUAAAGAAGCACCGGCUAACUACGUG